GAUGAACGCUGGCGGUGUGCCUAAUACAUGCAAGUCGAGCGGUAAGGUCUCUUCGGAGAUACACGAGCGGCGGACGGGUGAGUAACGCGUAAGAAUGUACCCCAAACUGAGGGAUAAGCACCAGAAAUGGUGUCUAAUACCGCAUGUGCUCUUCGGAGUAAAGCUACGGCGGUUUGGGAACAGCUUGCGUAAGAUUAGCUAGUUGGUAAGGUAAUGGCUUACCAAGGCGACGAUCUUUAGCUGGUCUGAGAGGAUGAUCAGCCACACUGGGACUGAGACACGGCCCAGACUCCUACGGGAGGCAGCAGUAGGGAAUUUUCCACAAUGGGGGCAACCCUGAUGGAGCAACACCGCGUGCAGGAUGAAGGCCUUCGGGUUGUAAACUGCUUUUGUCUGUGACGAAUAUGACGGUAGCAGACGAAUAAGGAUCGGCUAACUACGUGCCAGCAGCCGCAGUAAAAC
rnacentral:rRNA from 1 species